GUGGACAUACUUGAUCCGAAUCGAGAAGCCCCUCGUUUGACAAAAACGUCAAAAACAAGUACGAGUUAUGAGAGUAAAAUUUGAUUCAGUGUGGAGAAAAAACGGAAAAACCAGUGACGUGAGUAGCUUGGGUUCGACCGGAAAAAAACGCGGCAGCCUCCGACGCAGGAAAUCCCGGAAGGCAGCCAGCAGACAGAAGUGUCUCAGGGCGCAGUAUUGUUCUAUCAUCUUUGCGGCUGUUUCAUACAAUUUGCCGCUUCGGUUUUGCCGGACAGAUCGCCUCUAAGCUGCUGGUUGCUCCAUCCGAAUCCGGUCACGGAUUGAAAAGGCCCGCUUCCGUAAAUCGCACGCAAGAAAGAAUACGCUCCUGGAAGAUUGGCGCGUCAAGCGAAGCCAGCACUAGCGGAAAUCGAUUCCAAAACGGGACACCGGAAAAACACCUGGGAAAAGCGAGGAUACCGAGCAUACAAUAGCC